GGUUGUUACGUUCUGCAGGUGCCGGAGGAGUGCGCUGCCCUUGUCCCGCAGCCCUUCCCAGUAGGCGUUUUCGACUACAACCUGUUACAGAGAGCACACUGUCACCAUCACUGAAGAAAGUGCCAACUGAAGACUCACCUUCUCCGCCCUGGUGAGCAGUUGGUCGGUCACAUAACCCCGCACGCCCUCACGCCGCCCAAUCCUUCUACGCACGGCGCCCAUGGCCCUCGACACCAGGGCGUACAGGCUCUGGAGGUACACAGACAAACACGCUGACAAGCACACGCGUAAAUUAUCCCGCAAAUUAUAAUAAGCUGUCGGACGAACAAAUUCAAGUUAUGUGUCAGUACCUACCUACACCCAGCGUCUGCACCAUCACAUAAGGGCCAUUGGUGGGACACAACUUGAGCAUGUUGUGUGUGGGCGCCAGCGUGGGAGUCUCUAGCAUCACACCGGCCAUCAUACACUUCCUGGCGUCCUCCUCUGCGCUCCCACUCCACAUCUCCACUGUACGCCCGGAGUUCUGAGCCUGCAGGCGUGUCUCCAUUAUAGACUCUCGCACACACCUUUGUCACCUCACAUCAUCAUAACAGAGAGUGUUUUCAUAAUCGCUGAGAGGAGGACUGCCACGUACGUGUAAGCUCCGGUGAUCUGCAUGGCGAAGUCGUUGAGGAAACAAGCCAGAAGGGAGCCGUAGGUGAUGCCGACCUUCCGCACCAGAAGACGCAGGCCGCUGCUCCCUCCAGGAUGCUGCAUGGCUACCGUCACCAGGUAGUUCUCCUAUAAAAAGUUCCGUUCAAGCGUUUUGUCGUUCGU